rnacentral:rRNA from 1 species
GAUGAACGCUGGCGGCGUGCUUAACACAUGCAAGUCGAACGGGAAGGUCCUGCUGGUUUGGCGAGCUCGACUGGCGAACGGGUGAGUAGCACGUGAUUUACCUUCCCUUUACUUUUGGAUAACUUCAGUAAACUGUGACUAAUACCGGAUAAUAACUGCUGCUUCGUUUUGGUGGUUGGAAUGUUUCGGAGGUUGGUGAUGGACUGUUGGGUUAGCUGAUUGUUGGGGGGGUGGUGGCUUACCACGGCUUUGGAGGGUGGCUGGCCUUAGAGGGUGACUGGCUAAAUUGGGACUGAGCUACGGCACAGACUCCUCCGGGAGGCAGCAGUGGGGUAUAUUGCAUAAUGGGAGCAAGCCUGAUGCAGCAACGCCGCGUGAUGGAUGAUGGCCUUCGGGUUGUAAACCGCUUUCGCAUGUGACGAAGCGUGAGUGACGGUAAUUGGUAAAGAAGCACCGGCUAACUACGUG